rnacentral:rRNA from 1 species
AACGAACGCUGGCGGCAUGCCUAACACAUGCAAGUCGAACGAGACCUUCGGGUCUAGUGGCGCACGGGUGGGUAACGCGUGGGAACCUGCCCUUAGGUUCGGAAUAACUCCCCGAAAGGGGUGCUAAUACCGGAUAAUGUCUUCGGACCAAAGAUUUAUCGCCUUUGGAUGGGCCCGCAUUGGAUUAGCUAGUUGGUAGGGUAAAAGCCUACUAAGGCGACGAUCCAUAGCUGGUCGGAGAGGAUGAUCAGCCACACUGGAACUGAGACACGGCCCAGACUGCUACGGGAGGCAGCAGUGGGGAAUAUUGGACAAUGGGCGAAAGCCUGAUCCAGCAAUGCCGCGUGAGUCAUGAAGGGCUUAGGGUUGCAAAGCUCUUUUACCCGGGACGUUAAUGACAGUACCGGGAGAAUAAGCUCCGGCUAACUACGUG